CCCGGAUGCCCUUUGGGCGUUUCCUCCCUAGACUUGAAGGCCGCGCCUCCUGGCUGCGGCCUUUUUCUUGCCCCUG
rnacentral:sRNA from 1 species